UACAGAGGUCCCAAGCGUUGUUCGGAUUCAUUGGGCGUAAAGGGUGCGUAGGUGGCGCCGUAAGUCGGGUGUGAAAUUUCGGAGCUUAACUCCGAAACUGCAUUCGAUACUGCGGUGCUUGAGGACUGGAGAGGAGACUGGAAUUCAUGGUGUAGCAGUGAAAUGCGUAGAGAUCAUGAGGAAGACCAGUGGCGAAGGCGGGUCUCUGGACAGUUCCUGACACUGGAGGCACGAAGGCCAGGGGAGCAAACGGG
rnacentral:rRNA from 1 species